rnacentral:rRNA from 1 species
AUACGUAGGGGGCGAGCGUUGUCCGGAAUGAUUGGGCGUAAAGGGUGCGUAGGCGGCGCGGUAAGUCUGGAGUGAAAGUCCUGCUUUCAAGGUGGGAAUUGCUUUGGAUACUGCCGCGCUUGAGUGCAGGAGAGGUUAUCGGAAUUCCCGGUGUAGCGGUGAAAUGCGUAGAGAUUGGGAGGAACACCAGUGGCGAAGGCGACUUACUGGGCUGUAACUGACGCUGAGGCGCGAAAGUGUGGGGAGCAAACGGGAUUAGAUACCCUGGUAGUCCACACUGUAAACGAGGAAUGCUAGGUGUAGGGGGUAUCGACCCCUUCUGUGCCGCAGUCAACACAAUAAGCAUUCCGCCUGGGGAGUACGGCCGCAAGGUUGAAACUCAAAGGAAUUGACGGGG